rnacentral:lncRNA from 1 species
UCUGACGGCCGAGUGGACAAACGGCGAAAUUGUAGUGAAGUUGCUCGAAUAGAGAGGAUCGAGUGAAGGAGACGAUUUCGAGUGAGGGUGAUGAGAGAGUGAUUAUGUGAGGUCGAGUGAGUGGUGGGAGUGAGCAUAAGAUAUGUGUGGUUUGGUUGUGUCGAGUGAGAUGUUUUUUUUUUUCUAAAAAUCUCAAACAUCUCUACCUAGUGAAAAUCAUCCCACCUCCUCACUGAAGCAUGUUCGAUUCUGUAUCUCCUGCCCACUCAUAUCUUUAAAAUCCUGAACAACACAAAACUAAAAACAAAAAUCAAAAACACAAAAAAUCCUAGGCAGUAUUUAUAAGGAUACCUUUGGGAAUUCCUCCCAAGUGAGCUUGUUUAAAGUCACUAAGCUUGACUGUUUAUGCCUUUUAGGCUUUGGGAGGCUAAUAGAGAGGUAUGGAGGACCCCUCUGGUGUCUCUUGAUCAGCUAGGUAACGCUUGACACGUUGACCGUUCACAGUGAACUCGCU